rnacentral:tRNA from 1 species
GCCCCGGUAGCUCAGGUGGAUAGAGCGGCUGCCUUCUAAGCAGCGGGUCGGGGGUUCGAGUCCUCCCCGGGGCGCCA